AUGGGUUGGCAGUUAGGGGUAUGGGGAGGUUCCCUCAGGCAGCCAGCCAGGUCCAGAGUGUGGGAGGAGACUCACAAGGGGAGGGGGUACAAAGCACAACCGCAACCUCAAUGCAGAGUGAGGCAUGCGGGGCACGGCUCCAUGCAGGGAUGGGACACCAGACCGGCAGACACCCCUUCCCAUCCCCGGCCUCUUGUGAACUCUGGAAGGUCUAGGGCUGCUGGGGUGCGCCUUGCGGGGAGUUCCCUUGUUCCAGUCACCGUCUGGAGGAGCAGAAGGCGCGGGGACACGCACGGGCACGUCUCCGCACUCCCUCAACUCAACCUCGGUGUCUUCGGCCUGCCAGCAAAGACAACCUCCGGAGCCCCGGGCCUGGGAGUUGUCGCCGCGCGGUCCCGCCUGACCCUGGCGGGGUCACAGGAGUCCGGCGCCGGGGGUGGCUCCAGCACGGCGCCGCGGGUCUGGGUGGGUGCCCCAGAGACUUGGCGGCUGCGCUACUGGGGAGGCGGAGGCGCACCCCUCCGCCCGCCAGGCAGCGCGGCCCGGGCCGCGCCCCCGCCCCACUCCCUUCGCGUUCUCUUCUCUGCAAAGAAAAGCCGGAGUUGCACCCUGAAAGCGCUUCCGUCCCCACCCAUCUCAGCCCGCCGCGCCCCAGGGGCUCCACAAAGUUGCUGCAAGUCGCCGGGUCUGCAGCUGCAGGUGAGGGUGGCGGGGCCGCGCGGCGGGCGGGAGCACGGUCAAGGCUUGGGGUGCCGAGAGCGCCCCCUCCCAGCCCCGCGCGUGCACGCCUCCCACGGACGCGCACCCUGCACCCCACCCUCACCGCUGCCCCCGAGGCUCCCGCCCAAUCAGAGGCCGCGCACGCGGCGCCUCCGGCGGGCAGACACCCCGGCUCUUCGGCCUGCGCCUCUGCGGCCCCGGCCCCGCCGCAGCGGCCCGGCCCCGCCACACUCACCGUCCGGGGCGCGCCGUCCGCGCGCGGCUCCGCUCCGAGCCGGCAUCCCCCGGCUCGGCUGCCUCCGGUCCCCGCUCCGGCUCCGGUUCCCGCUCCGCAGGGCUCGGCUCCGCGAUGGUGGCCGCGGCGGCGAGCGCGGCAGGGAGGGCGUGUGUGUGCGCGAGGGCGCGCGGCGUGUGCGUGUGCGUGUGCGCGGGAGGGUCCGGGCUCCCCUGCGCGCCCCGCUCCUACCUCCUGUUCGCCACGCCGAGAUGCCGGCAGAAUCCCUACCGCGCGCCUCACCGCCCUGCGCUCACAUUCGCGCACACACACGCACACUCGGGCGCGCACUCCCCGGCCGCCGUACACCGGCUCGGCACUCCCGGCUCGCCCUCCUGGGGCGCUCACAAAGGCCCCCCUGCUGGGCGGGCCGGAACCCUCGGAGCCCGGCCCUGCGCCCUUACUGGACCCGCCGGCCUCAGGUGUCCCGCUGCUCCCGGUGGGGACAGCGCGGGUGGCCCCGCUCCCAGCCCGAACCCCGGCCCUGGUGCCUACUCGGGCUUCCAGUACUCCCGCCCGAAACGCGGGCCCCUUCCUCUGCGCUGCCGCCCUUCUUACCCCUUCCAGCCCGUCCUCUCCGGCGCCUCCCCGCCUUCUCCCACCUGCCCAGCCCGGUCCUCCGUCUCCCCGCUGCUCUCCGUCUGUCUCGCCGCCGCCCUCUCCCGCGCCCCCUCCUCCCCACCGCCCUGCGCUGCCUCUCACAUUCUCCGCAUUACAGCGGGUGCCGCCCGCCGCUCGCGGGGCCCAGGGUUCGAGCGCGCAGUGGGCGGCGAGGGGACCCGCCGCGCCCGGCCCCGCCGCCCCCUCCGCUCUUCGCCGCUCCGCGGCUGCUAGCUCCGGCCUGGCGCUAG
ensembl:lncRNA